UAACCGCUGACGACAAUCGUGUAUGUUA
rnacentral:ncRNA from 1 species